CUACGGAGGAUGCGAGCGUUAUCCGGAUUUAUUGGGUUUAAAGGGAGCGUAGGCGGGAGCUUAAGUCAGCGGUUAAAUGGUGCGGCUCAACCGUGCCCUGCCGUUGAAACUGGGUUUCUUGAGAGUGCAAGAGGCGGAUGGAAUUCAUGGUGUAGCGGUGAAAUGCUUAGAUAUCAUGAAGAACUCCGAUUGCGAAGGCAGUCCGCUGGGGCACGUCUGACGCUGAUGCUCGAAGGUGCGGGAAUCAAACAGGAUUAGAUACCCUGGUAGUCCGCACGGUAAACGAUGAUUACCCGCUGUCGGCGGCAGACAGUCGGCGGCCAAGCGAAAGCGAUAAGUAAUCCACCUGGGGAGUACGCCGGCAACGGUGAAACUCAAAGGAAUUGACGGGG
rnacentral:rRNA from 1 species